rnacentral:tRNA from 2 species
GGAGAGGUGGGUGAGUGGCUGAAACCAGUUCCCUGCUAAGGAACCGUACCUAUAUACUGGUACCGAGGGUUCGAAUCCCUCCCUCUCCGCCA